CAUGCAGGGAGCUGUGGGGAGAAGGGCCCGGAGGCUCCAUGGCUGCAGGGAAUGGCUGAUCUUUAAGCCACCAGUGCUGGGAUAUGGUGACGGUUGCUCGCCUGGAUUGGAGUGUGCUGCAGGAGGAGGUGCAGCCUGUGUAAUCCCUGAGCAGCAAUGCAGCAGAGAGGCUCCAGAGGUGACGUGCCCGUGCCCGUGCCCAGCAGUGGGAUGACACAGCUCUGCCCUCCAUGGAGGCACAGGUAACCGGGAUGAUUCCCACCCAGUUUUCCUCACGCUGCCAGUUAAGAGCAAGGGAGAUGCCUCACACACCACCCUCCACCCCACAGGCUGUUAAUUCAUGAUACAGCUGCUAAUUAGUACCUACACAAACGGGCGUUACACCUUUGCCAAACAUUGCAGAGCAGCUACGCAGUGGAUCGGGGAACGAUGCGUGCGAUGGGAGGGACACAGAGGGGCUGUGUUAAUCCUUCCCCCCCACCUUCCAACAGCAAAGAAUUUCAACUUUCAGACAAACAACUUCAUUUACAAGUGUGUCUCUAAUUAGCUGCAGAAUUAGUAAAGCCGAGUUUUCCCCCCAUAGAUCGGCCGGAGCCCCGGGGGAGGCUGGGGAAUAGAGAGAAUCGCAUUUCCAAUUAUUUUGUUGAAUUGCUAAUUUAGUUAUUGUGCCGGCUGUAAUUGUGAUGGGUAUUGGGUGUGCAAUUCAAUUUGGUUUAAAUAUUUGUGGGAAGGCUGAGCAGUAAUGGAGCUGACCUAUUUCAUGGCCCACAUUGAGAGAAGAGACUAAAACAAAACACAGCACCAGAGCCACAGUUUGCCUCCGUUUGUAUUUUUGAUGUUUCUCAUCCCUCUUAAGACUGUUGCUGCAACAAAAGGUUUGCGUUAAAAGAUGAUGGCACUUU